AAAAAAAAAAGAGAGAAAUUACAGAAAAACCUGCAGGUUGGAUUGGGUUAUCAACAUACUUCAAACUCAAACUCGCCACAGAUAACACGGCUGAUCGAGAGGAGGCGACGACAUCAUAAGAACACUCCACAACACCGGUGCUCGUGUAUGAACAGCAACACCAUCACCUGGGCAAAAAGCUGAUAGACGAUAGUCUGUCGUCACCGUCAGCACCAUUGUUACUGACACCGGCCACUGCUAUACAGGGAUAGCCGCCGUGAUCCGUGACAAGCGCCGAGCCAUCGCUCCUCCAAACGAAGUUGUCCUGCACGGACUAACACACCCGUAAACCUCGUCGCUUCAUAGAUCUCGUCAAUCGUCAUGUGACCAAUGCUCUUGUUCGAAACAGACCGCCAACAGAGAGAGUUGCGAAAGCUCGUGAAGCAUGUGAGGAAAGCAUGGCCAAUAUCUGGUGGAAGCCGACGUC
rnacentral:lncRNA from 1 species